ACUGUAAUAAAUGAAAUACCUGAUAUUGACACUUUAGUAAAUGUAUUAUAAUUAGCACAGGUGAUUAACGCGUAAACGCGUGUGUGAGGGGUGGAGACGCGCCGCGGAGCGUCAGACGCGCGUGAGGACCAAACACACAGCGGAACGACACAGAUGCUCUCUAGCGCCACCUUCAGAUCAUCAUCAUGACAAGAGACGCAUCAGUCCUGCUGCUGCUCCUAACACUGCUGGACACACAGCUCUGUGAGGAUGGGAUCGUCAUGGCGAUGAUGUCAGCGGAGCAGGUGAGCGAUAUCCCAGAAUCUCUUGAUCUGGAA